CCAAUGUCCCGCCAGCAAGAACGACGCGCGGCAACAGGAUUCUUCUGCGAGCAAGCCUUUACUGUGUUACAGCUCUUCUUAGUGUUACAGCUCUCUUAGUGUUACAGCUCUCUUGAACAGGGACCCCGAGCAGCAAAAUCGCUCGGCUUAUAUAGACAACAGUAUGCUAAUUAUCUCUCAGGGAUUGGUGGGGCUUGGAUCACCCCACUACUUGUCCUCCAGGGAUUGGCAGAGAAUGAAUCACCUCAUUAGCAUAUUAACGGUCAACUAACACCUGGUGCAUAAACCGCACAUGUGCAGUACCGCUGUUCACCACUAGAGGGAGCCCUAGCAAGGGGACAAGCCUGCACAUGCGCAGUAAGUCGUUUAUAUCCAGACAAGGCUGGAUGUCGGCGCCAUCUUUGUUUCGCCGCGCCGCUCUCUACAGACUGGGCUUGGCAGACAGCCAUAUUGAGUGACCGAUCCUAGCAGGAAGGAGACCAGAUAGAUACCUGCAGUCCAGUUCAAUAGUAUCAGGAUAACAGUUAUGAAUCAGCAGCAGUGGCAUGAUCCAGCUGAAACAGCCAGGCCUCCUACUAAUUGGCAUAAAUCAGCAAGAGCUACUGGGAGACCAGCCAGGACAUGAAGAGAAGUUCUCUGCUGUGCCUCCCUCUUAAAGAAGGAAUGAUCAGAGAAGAAGAGAGACCAAGGAAGAACUAGCUAUAUAUCACAAAGCAGCUUGUCUGGCUUCUAGCAUGGGCUGAAGACCAAUGGCUCUUUAAAAUUUUUUCAAGUCUUCCAUGCCAAGUUGAGAGUGCUGUAAAUCCAACCUCAUGGACUGAGGAGACACAAGAUUCUCAGCCCCUUUAAUGUGAAGUGAGUCAUUGUUGGACUACCAAGAAUACAUUAUGUAAGCUCUUCUAACAAAUUACCUUUUAAUGAAUAUUUAUUCUAGUAGUCCUGUUCCUCUAGAUAACGCUGACUAAUACUGACACCAUCACAAUUAAAAAGAACUCCAAAGCAACAUUUAGGAAGUAGAAAAGGCCACCACAUAAUGAGAGAACAUACCUGCCAAUCAUCUCCAAUACAAUUCUACUAACAAGAAUUAAGAAGCCACUAUGACACUUCAGUAACAUCAAUGUACUCAUAACAAAAAAUAAGCAAAGUCUCUGAGGAGGUAAGUUUACAAAGAGUAUCCAAAAUAAAUAAUCAGUGCAUGGAAAGAUGAAGUAAGGAGAUGAAAUACAAAGCCAAAGAUUACUGCUUCACCACUUCCAAAAGGCAGAGCAUAGAAAGCUAUUUCAGGUGUGGAAUGACUAGAGUUCCCAUACUGUUGUAAAAAUAUAGAAAAUAAAAGGCUGUCUUUAUACCCCACUAGGUCCAGCACCGCAGUGCCCCAAGAUAUCUGUUGGAUAUCUUAAUUCUCAGUCAGCAAAGCCUCUCACCUGCUCUGCUCCAUCCCACAUCACACUGCUGAAGGCCUCUCUCUGAGCUGUCAGCACUCUCUCUGCCUAUCUAGUUCCCAAGGCAGGUUUCCAUGCCAGAAAACCACAUCCCAACUCUGUGGUGUCCCAGACCAGCCGCCCCACACUCCAUUACACUUAAAUCUACACAUGAAAGAACACAAGACACAAUAACCUUUGGCCCAAUUGAUAAGAUAUAAUUGCCCACCUAAACAUGCAAUCCAAUACACAUCCAUCCCUUAAAAACAUUCAUAACAACCUGUAAAGGUACAGUGUGGAAUCUUAACGUCACCUGCCAUCUACCUCCAGCUUCCAUAUAUGCAUAUGCAUAUAUAUGUGUGUGUGUGUGUGUGUAUGUGUGCAUAUAUAUAUACAUAUAUAUAUAUACUUGUACUCAUAACUCACAUACAUGUACAUGCCUCUAUGAAGUAUGUACUGAGUAAAUACUAAGUACUAUAUGUACUUUCUGUACUAAAUCAGUUCUGUAUGUAUUAAGUAAUAUAUAACAAACACACACACACACACAAACUAAUAACACAACACGCACAUGCAUACACAGCAAAAAAUAAUGUAAAUAAUAUGCUUUCUAUGAUUAUGUGGUUUUAUUGUGUAAGGUUUGAUUUUUUGCCUUUGUCUCUGUGAGAAUAUACACACGUGUCUAUAUGUGCCCAUGGAAGUCAGAGGAAGGCAUCAGGUCCCUCAGAGCUGUAGUUACAGUGUAGGUGGAUGUACCAUGCCUGGCUUUCUGCUGUAAGCGCUGGGAUCCUGACAUUAGUCCUCAUGAUUCUGUAGCAAGUACCCUUACCUAAGCCAUCUCUCUAGCUCCAAGAAAGUGGUUUUAAGAUGUCUCAACUGAACCUAAAAAACUGGAGGCUCAGCAAAAUUUGUCAGGCAACAACUCUUGAAUUUUGCAAGUUUGGAAGGGAGAAGAGAAAUUGAAAAUAAGAUGGUGAGACUGUGUUGUGGAGAACAUCCCACAAUAAAGCUACAUCUAAUCCCAGGGCAGUGUGAAAUCAAAUAAAAUAUGGAACAAUCCAAAGUCAUAAUACAAAGUGCUUAUUGUUUGAGAGUUUCAUACAGUCUUAGAACAUGGUGAAUCAAAUCCACUCUCCUUUUCCCACUCAGCCACUCAUCUCUUCCCCUAAUCUCUCAUCAUUUUCCCUUCUCAAAUUCAUGUGCUCCUGUUAAAAACUCACGGAAUGCACCUAGUGCUACCAUGAAGUGCAUGCAUGUGGAGCCAUGAACUGGAACAGAGUCCAUCAAGAGCUACAUCCCUUAAGCAAACUGAUGCCCGAUCUCCUGGUAACCAUCAGUUGCCAAUAGCUCACCUAGGAAUGGGACUUCGAGAACCAUCUCCUCAUCCAUAGGUAUUUUGGCUGCCCUGGUCCCAUGCCUAUCAUAUACAUGCCUUCAUAGCCAACACGGAUCUAGACGUACUCCUGUUAGUGUAAUUUGGGUAGACAUGAUAGAGUAAAACUGUCUCCUCUACACUGCAAUGGAUGGAUUCUUUGGGAAAAAGUAGGGAAAAUAGAAAAUAGUAAUAAAGACUCUGCAACCAGUCACAGUAUCAUGACAUUAACACAGUUAAGAUGAGGUGCCAGACGGAAUCAGACUCAGGAUCAUGUAGGUGAACAAUGGCGAAAGAGGCAGAGUCAAGAAAUGCUAUGUGGCUUGCUAACGGUAAGUGUUGGGGGUAUAUAUGGUGUAUCUGUGAUAUUGUGUGCAGUGUGAGAACAGGGGGAUAAAAGGUCAAGCAGAGCAUUGCAUCAGAAUGAAUGAAUAGUAUCUGAAGCAACACAAGAGAGGAAGAGAGCAGACUAUAGAAAAACAUGGGAAAGAUUUGCUCCUGAAAAUAAACCUGGGUUUUUCCAUCUAGUAGUUCUAAAAGGUGGGAUUCUGGAAAUCAAACAACAGAAUGGACAAAUCCCAAAGUACUAGAUUCUCUUUCUCUUUUUUAUUGGAUAGUUUAUGUAUUUACAUUUUGAAUGUUAUCCUCUUUCCCCCUCUCUCAUGCCCCCUCCCUUACUUCUAUGAAGAUGAUCACCCUCCCACCCACUCCCAUAUCAACACCCUGGCAUUACCCUACACUGGGGAAAUGGGGCUUCAUAGGACCAAAGGUCUCUCUUCCCAUUGUUGCCAGACAAUGUCAUUCUCUGCUACAUGUGCUGCCGGAGCCCUGGAUCCCCUCAAGUAUACUCUUUAGUUGGUGGUUUCGUCCCCGGGAGUGCACCCAGAGAGUUCAACUUUCUGCUGAACUAUUCUACACAACCCUCAUCCCCCUACCGCAGAAAGAGAGAGAGAGAGAGAGAGAGAGAGAGAGAGAGAGAGAGAGAGAGAGAGCAGCUAAUGAUUGGAGAAAAUUCAGAAGUAGGAGCCAUUCUACUGGUUUUAAAACCUGCUGGCUGUUUUACAUAUCAACAUAGUUAUAAAAGUUCAUGGUGGCAGAAUUGUGGAGAAGGAUGCUACCAGAGUGGAAAAACAGGAAUGCCUUGCAGAAUUUUGAUUUAGAGCCCCCGUUGUAAAUGCCAGUUGUUCCACUGGCUUCAUUUUGCUAAUGCAAGAACAUCUUCUGCAGUAAUAACAUAUUUCAGUGGAAUGUCUUUUUAAUAAUCCUUAAUUUGAGUUUUAAUUCCCUUGAUAGCCACUUUAAAGAGACAACUACAUUCCUAAAGUAACAGUUCAGAAGCAUAUCUGAGUACAGACCAAUAGCAUUCAGGUACACACGUACACACCAGCAGAAGAAAGAGCGUCCCUAGAUUAUAACACAGAUCCAUAUUUCUUAAAAUCAAUGUCAUCAAAAUAAUGCCCUAAAAACCUUUUAAUAAGCAGUCACCUCAAAUUCCAUAGACAUCAGCAAUUAGUGGUGUGCUCUUUAGUGGGAUCUGGGUAGAAGGUGGAGGUAGAAAAUGAAGACAUAAUGACAGAAACAAAAGAGAUGACUAGAGACAAAGAACAACUUGAAGCACUGCUGCAGAAGCCUGGGCAAGCUCCUGCUUAAACCUGGAUUCAAGGUAACUUAGCAUCUUAUUCUGCAGAUCUAACCAAUAAGUUAUGUUGAGAUCAGUGAGUUGGUAUGGAUGGAUCCAAGUAACAGAGCUGCCACAAGAAACAUAAAACAUCAACAAAAAUUGUGUGUGUGUGUGUGUGUGUGUGUGUGUGUGUGUGUGUAUGCGCGCGCGCGUGCGCGAGCACGCGUUGGAUCCAACGCAUGCAGUUGGAUCCAUUUGUGUGUUUCUCCUUUCCUUUGCUCACCUGAGUGAUGGGUGGAAAAUUGCUCACACCUGCUACCCACACACUCCUUAUCCAUCUUCAAAUGACUUCUCACCAGAAGUCGUUCUUUUUUUUUUUAUUCAUUUAUUAUAUAUAAGUACACUGUAGCUGUCUUCAGAUACACCAGAAGAGGGCAUCGGAUCUCUUUACAGAUGGUUGUGAGCCACCAUGUGGUUGCUGGGAAUUGAACUCAGGACCUCUGGAAGAGCAGUCAGUGCUCUUGACCGCUGAGCCAUCUCUCCAGCCCCAGAAGUCGUUCUUAACUGUUUCAUGAAUCUAGACCUGAAAUUUGAGUCAGAAGAAUCAGAGGAACUUAGACACCAUGAAAGAAACAUCAGCAAUCUUACAUAUUUAAAGAACAGACUUCACCUGGCUACUUCGGAGGGAGGAAGGGUGGCCCAUGGAUUAACAAAAGGUAAAGAGCAGAUGCCCAUGUGUAUAUGUGGGAGUUACUCUCCCACCUUUUCCCCUUGGAUCAAGUCUCUUGGUUGCUAAGGCGUUUUGUUUGUAUUUAUUUACAGCCAUGCAGGUCUUCUUCAUUAAAGUCACUAGGACAGUUACUAACAGGGACUUUACAAAUCAAUUAAGGAGAGUCUGGUCUGUGUCUGUCUUAUUCACUAAGCUGUUUCCACAAUCUCGUAGUCACUCGAAAGAUACAUACUUAGUUGCUAAGCUAUUAAAUUGAGAAGAGAAAGAACAAGGCAUCUGGAUGUGGGGAACUGGGAAUAGACGUCAGAAGACUUAAGGGGACCUGUUGGGAUGAAUGCAAUCAUAAUACAUUGUAUGAAAUUCUCAAAGAAUUAGUAAGACAUUUAUUCGUACAAAAAUAGAUGUAUCUAUGGGGACUGGACAAGUUACCUAAGAGUUAUGCGUCCUUGCUCCUCCUGCAAAUAACCUGAGUUCCUUCCCACCACUCACGUCAGGCAGCUCACAGCCUCUUGUGUGUCCAACUCUAGGGAUUUUGACAUCCUAUUCUGGCCUCCAUCAGCAAAUACGAUCAAGUACAGACACACACACACACACACUUUAAAAUAAGUGUUUAAAAUGAAUAUGGGCUUGAGGCAGAGGAAAGGAAUUUGAGAUAAAAGAAAUGCAGAAAGAAUGAGAAAAAGAGAGACCAGGAAGAAAG